ACGCUCGACACCUACGGAAGGCAGCAGUCGGGAAUAUUGCGCAAUGGAGGAAACUCUGACGCAGUGACGCCGCGUAUGGGAAGAAGGUUUUCGGAUUGUAAACCAUUUUAGACAAGGAAGAAACAAGACAGUACUUGUAGAAUAAGCUCCGGCUAACUACGUGCAGCAGCCGCGGUAAUCUGAGCGGGCUGGCAAGGC
rnacentral:rRNA from 1 species